GUGCACAGGGAGACAUGGAGACAGUGGCUGCCUUCGGGGACAGGAUGACACAGCCAUUCCUGCCUCCACGCAGUCACAGCACUGCAAGGCUGAGGCCCUGGGAGAGGACCGUGGGGAUGGGGAUGGAAUGUGCUCCACCCUCAGGCUUUCUGCUGCCACGAGCUCAGGCCCCAAGUUCUCACCCCACUCCCACACCCCCUCUCCUCGCCCGAGGCCACCGCAUCACGUCCUGCAGUUGCAGGUGCGGAACUUUACUCUGCAGAUUUUGAGGACUGGGACAGAGAAACAACAAUCUGCCUGGAAUGUUUCACGUCUUUCGUGUAUUCUGUGCUGCAGCUGGGACCCAAGCUGAGCAGCAAGGAAUGUUCCAGGCAAGGGGCUGGGCUGGGGUCAGGGGAGCUGGGCCCGCCCUGCUGGAGGGGCCCCCCGGUGAGUGUGGGUCUGCUCUGGGCCCUCCCCUGACCGAGCUCUUGCUGCACUGGAGGCUCUGGGGGUGCACAGUCCUCCUCCCCCUCCAGGGGUCAAGAGAUUCUUUAGUCCUGCUACCGGGGAAGAAAUGGAGGCUAUAAAAGACGGAGCAGAUCAGGAAAAGGAAACAUGUGGAGCAGACAGUGUGAAGAGGGGAAGGAAAACAAGUGCAGUCGUUCCCCACUGAUCCCAGGACUAUCUUCUUGACCCAGCAGGAAACCAGCGUAACUGGGGAGAGCACUGCAGUGGCUGGUCUUGGCUGUGACUGCGCAUGUGCUUAUAAAAUGGUGCUAAAAUCCACGCGGGCACGGGAAGAUUGACCUGAGAACAUCCUACCAGGGAGUGGAGGCUUCUUGCAUGGAAGGCCCUAAGCCUGCUCAGCUGAGCCUCCCGCGAGCUGCUUUAAUUGGGGGAGAGGCUGUGGGUGCUGGCAGGGCCACCAUGUGCGUGACUUCCCCGGGGACCACUGUGCUCCUUGUGGACAUGCAAUAGAGUUGAUCAGCAUCUCCCUCUCAGGACCCAGCCCUGCCCACCCCACCCCCUAACGGCAGCAGGAACAUCCCCAGUUAAUCAUGAGGGGACACCAGGGCUGGCCCAACCUGACCUCCCCUGUUUUAGGCCUCCUGAAGAAAGUAUGAGGACACAGGAACCUCAGGGUCCUUGUCCUGCAAACAAGCAGCCCACCCAGCCCAGUAGUGCCUGCCUGUGGGCACUUAGUGGGUCCCGGCACCAAGUAAGGGACACUAUGGGGUCCCAGACUGUCGGGGAUUUUGCCCAAGCCCUGGACCCCACAGUCUCAGUGGAGCACCGUGUUUCAAGAUGAGGUUAUAUGGAUUUUUCAUGUAUGUAUAAUAAUCAGAGAAAAAACACACACAAAGGAAGGAAAAGAAGGAAAUUCCAUGCAGUGCUUUCUUGGACUAUGUUAAGGGGGAAGAAUUACAAGUUACUUGUGUGUGCAUGUUUUAUUAUUCCUAUUUCUCAAUAAAUAUAAAGGCCUUUAUUGCA